AUUAACCAAUCCGCACUCGGUUCAACUCUAGAGCUUUCUUAUCCUAUUGAGCUCGAAAUUCCUAGGGCUGACGUCUAGUUGAUUUUAAAUUAAGGUCUAGGUUAUGCAAAUGCAAGGGAGUGAUUUGUGGGCUAAGGAAGGGUGAUCAAAUCUCCACCUUAUCUUAGUUAAUGGGUUGCACCCUUAAAGUUAAUUAUGGAGAUGAGAUGCAAAGAAAUAAGGUGUCCAAUCAAGUUAGAAAUUUUUAUAUUUGGGGUUAUGCUAUUUUAGUUAAGUGUUAUGAAAUGUCAGUGGCUUUUUUUUUU
rnacentral:lncRNA from 1 species